rnacentral:lncRNA from 1 species
AUUUCUUCUGACAAAGAUAUUGUACAGAUCUGUGUUGCUGUUUGCCCACUCUGUUUAAUACUUAUUUUAGGAACUUGGUUGUAUGAUGUUCUCCAUCCGCACUCAUUCUCCUAUCUUGGUUUGGCUGGUCUUGUCCUCCAGACCUGUUAUGCUCCUGGGACUCUGGCAAGUUUCAAGGCGUCAGGCCUGUCCUCCAGUAGUUAUGAGCUGAGCCAGUACAUCAACGGUGCUGAACAGACUGAACCUGCCCCACAAGCCACCUGGAGAACAGCAGACACAGAUAAUUCUGGGGGAAACGGGAGCAGCGGGACAUGAGAUAAUUUCCUGGGCCGCUGGCUAGGUAUUUUACAGUCUCAAACCCGAUAUCCGCACUUGCAUACUACGUUGUAUGUGAUUAUGUAUUGGUCAUGCAUGCAAAGUAGAAAACACUGACCAAAUAACUACUCACACAAAAAAAAAAAUGUUUCCCCACAACUCACAAAACUGUUCUUGAGACACUAAAAACAGGCACUUAAAACGCAUGGAAAACUUGACUGUUUACUGUCAUAAUUUUGUCAGUAGCUAAUUUAGGUUUCCAUCCAAUUGUCGACAGGUUUUCAUGCAAAUAUUCUAAAAUCUGCAUAAAGUAUUUUCCCACCAGUGGUGUGUUUC